rnacentral:rRNA from 1 species
GAUGAACGCUGGCGGCGUGCCUAAUACAUGCAAGUCGAGCGAACAGACGAGGAGCUUGCUCCUCUGACGUUAGCGGCGGACGGGUGAGUAACACGUGGAUAACCUACCUAUAAGACUGGGAUAACUUCGGGAAACCGGAGCUAAUACCGGAUAAUAUAUUGAACCGCAUGGUUCAAUAGUGAAAGACGGUUUUGCUGUCACUUAUAGAUGGAUCCGCGCCGCAUUAGCUAGUUGGGAAGGUAACGGCUUACCAAGGCAACGAUGCGUAGCCGACCUGAGAGGGUGAUCGGCCACACUGGAACUGAGACACGGUCCAGACUCCGACGGGAGGCAGCAGUAGGGAAUCUUCCGCAAUGGGGGAAAGCCUGACGGAGCAACGCCGCGUGAGUGAUGAAGGUCUUCGGAUCGUAAAACUCUGUUAUUAGGGAAGAACAAAUGUGUAAGUAACUAUGCACGUCUUGACGGUACCUAAUCAGAAAGCUACGGCUAACUACGUG